GACGUAGGGGGCAAGCGUUGUCCGGAAUUACUGGGCGUAAAGGGCGUGUAGGCGGUGGCGUACGUAGCGGUUUUAAGCCGUCGGCUCACCCGACGGAGGGUCGCUAAACGGCGCGACUGGAGGGCAGGAGAGGUGCGUGGAAUUCCUGGUGGAGCGGUGAAAUGCGUAGAGAUCAGGAAGAACACCCGUGGCGAAGGCGACGCACUGGCCUGUCCCUGACGCUGAGGCGCGACAGCGUGGGGAGCAAACGGG
rnacentral:rRNA from 1 species